GGGAAGCUACUGCUCUCUGGCUGUCCACAGCCAAAGGAGCUGCUGCUGUUCGUUCGUGCCUGAGCUGUAGGAAUUGUCUGACUCAGCCCCAUGGAGGCCUCGAGGUUUGUGGGCCGUGUGCUUCAGCCUCUGGCAUGGAGCUGGCUGCCAGUUCAGGAGGCUGCAAGAGCUGAAUUGCCAAAGCUGUUUUAGAAACCAAGCAAAGGGCACAAACCAAAACCUGCCCCGGGUGGAUCUCUGUUGGCAGUGCAAUAUUUGGCCUCAUCCCUAGCAUGCCUUGCUCUAAACCAGUUUUCUGCUCAGGUGUGGGCUUGCAUGGCUUCAUGCGAAAUGCAAGUGCUUUCCCUGAAAUGGCAGAGUGCAAAGUAAGACACCUUCCAAUUUCAAGGUCCUGUUGGCUGCUUUGUGGGAUGGAGGAGAAAAAACCAUGGUGGGUCAGAACAGGGAGUGCUGUAUGCAAACCAUUGAUCCUUCCCUGAGCCCCUCUCCUGCUCUUGGGAGCCUCUGGGGCCACAGCCGCCCUCCUUGGCAUACUGCCCAUCCUGCCAUAGGGUUCCCCUGCCUGAGGAUGAAGUACUUGAGUCUGUAACAAAACAACUCUCCCAUUCAGAAGACAUGGAGUUUUCCUGUUUCUGGGGAACGUGGAAUCUGGCCUAAUGUUAAUUCUGACUAGCUUUACAUUAUCCACGUAUGUAGCCAGGCUCUGAUUGGACCCCUUGCUCCUCUCAUGCUGUCAAGGCCAGCAAAGCCCUUUGCUGAAGCUUUUCUGCAGAUACCCCACUCUUGGCUUUCCUGUUUUUUAUUUGGUAAGUCUGGUGUAGCUUUAAAACCCUGCUCUCCUAGGCACCCAAAAAACUAAAUGGGUGGUGGUUCUUGUGUCAGGCUGGAUGUGGAGACACUCUGGUUUUUGGAUUGUGACCCAUUUCCAUUUAGCCUAGGUCAGUAAUAACUAAUGUACAGGUGCAAGCAGAACCCCUAUAAGCCAGUUUUAAACUGAUACCAGUGCCAGUACUGUAGCACUUCUCUAAUCUGUGCCCACAUGUGAACAGGCCGUGUGCCUGCUUUUCAAUGGAUCUGGGGGUGAGAUCUGUUGUCAGGCUAUCAUCCCCUUUAAAAUAAGGGGUGACUAGGCACUGUGCUAUAGAGAAGGGAAGCUAGAUGACAGCUGUCAAGUGGAACUAACAAAGAGCAUCUCGUGCUGGGUUUUUAUUGAUUUGCAUCCAUGCGACAUUGGAGCACACCCUAAUCUGUGAUGGCUCAUCUAGCUCUUGGGCCAAAUGACUGACUGAUUUGUUUGUGCAAUGGUGUGGACUCUAGGGACUAGUUUUCUUCUCACUGUGAGGAAUGAGGGAAGGGACUGUAGAUCAUGCGGGGGAGCCUCAGCUGGAGUUGCAACCCCUUCUUCAGCUGGGCAUAGCUGGCAAAGUUGGUGUUGCUCACAAUCUCCUGAGUCCUCUGCUAGACAACAGGGUGAUAGGUGCAUUAUGAACGUCUGAAAACAGGAGCAAAAGCCCUUGUUACUUAUCCCAGGGUUGACUGUAUGAGGAAUUCACGGUCAGGUAGCUGCUUCCUGGACAUGAGCUGUGCCAGUUCUGGCAGCCCCAGGCUCUGGUCGCUUCCAGGGAGAAGAGCGGAUGGUGCUGAGGUGAUAAACAAGCAGCCAGCUAAAGCCUGACCUGCCCCGCAAGCAGGAAAUUGGGAGAAGUAGCAAUGCAGAUUAGCAUCCCUGUACCCCUGUAGCUGGUGAGUGCUGACAGGCCCUAGCUUUCUGCUGGGGGAAGCUGGAAGUGUGAUGUCUCCUUAAGCCUGCUGUGCUGGGAGUUGAUGCUGUUAGUGUUCAAAGUGGCAACCCAGCACCUGCUGCCCAAGCUGCCCCCUGAGGAAACCGAACCCCCCGCCCCCAUCUCUGCUAGCCAUAUACACGUCCCAUACACCAAGGAUUAGUGUUGCCUCUUGGUGGAUCUGGGGUAAGGUCUUUCUCUGCCGGACAUGACAGGGGAAGGCUGUGUUUGUAAAUGAAUAAAUCUCAACGAGCACCUCGCACAGUGUACGGGCAGCUCCCAGCGUGGGUCUCAAUGUCUGGAGGGAACUGCAGCUCUGCUGGAAGGCCCCAGACAUAGUCCCAUUCCAAGCAAAGCCCUGCCAUGUCCCAGGAGUCCUUAAUGGAAGGUGUGAAUUCUAGGAACAGAGCCACGUGCCUGGUUGGCCUAUAGCAUGUAACUGCCUCUGCCUGUUUAAUAAGGGAUGUGAAUUUCAAGAACAUAGAGACGAGGGGCCUGGUGGCAUCCAAAACCAGGCGGCUGGAAUUGCCAGGGGUACCAGCAGUCAAGAGCUGGGGACUUAGAGUUCCCUUCUUUGCAGUGAAGGACCCCAAUCGUGCCUAUCCCUCGCCUCCCAUACAUUAUCAUCUUCAAAAGUUUCCACCCCUUCCAACCUACUGUCCAUGGAGAUCAGCACCCCAUGGUGCCAGGGGCUGUACAUACAGCUGGGGAGAGCCACUCCCUGCUCUGAGGAGCUAACCCAAAGGGUGGGAUGUGAGGCAGGCACAGAGAGGCAGUGAUUUUCCCCCAGGUCACCCAGGAGCAGAGCUGGAACUAAAAGCCACAUCUUGUGAGGCCCAGUCCAUUGCUGGGUUAAUGAGGGUCCUGACAGCCAAGCUGGAGGGUGUUUCUGAUUGGAGGGGGCUGUAGGCCUUCAGAGCAAGAGAUGCUUGUCUUUUCCCCUGGGCUCUGAGCAACUACAGCUUUCCAGCCUUCCUCUGCCAAGUCCUCUCUCUGCACCCACUGUGAACUGCUCCUUAGAGAUGAACUGGAGGAAUAGCCAGGUCACCUCCCCCACUGGAUUGCUGGGUUUUCUGGGGCAUCAUGGAGUCCUGGCUUACCCCUACUCCUAGGGUCUGUGCACCGGCCUAGGACACUCUCCAUCCAUCUUUCAGUUGACAGCAGGAAGCAGUGAGACCACACUGGUGUCCCACAUGGGAACGUGGGCUGCUCUGUGGACAAAUCCAUGUAUCUGCUCUUUUUACCCUCUCCUCUGCCUCCCUGCUGAAUCACAGGCUCUGUGGGAGAUGGGCAGAGGGCCCAGAACCAUGUCCCAAAUGCCCUGAGUUUGAGAGUUUCGGGUAAGUGGGAGCUAGAUGCAGACUAGGCCUCUGUUGAACCAAAGUCAAAGCCAAACCCACCGGUUUUGGCAAACGGUAGUUUGGGUUUUGCAAUCUCCCCUCCAUCCCCUUAUGCUCUUCCUGGCUCCUUUUCUCCCUCCACAGAGAUGCCUUCAUUCCAUCCCUUGUGCUACAGAUGCUCCCUCUGUUGCCCUCUCCAGGCAUUUACCUGCCAAAAUUCCUGCGCUCCCUGGCAUGACUGAUCCCUUCAUCUUCCUGCUCUGGGAGCUGGCAGGAUUCGUCCUUCUGAGAUGCUCCUUAUGGGCACCUGGCUACUGGGCUUACUGCAAAACAGUGUGGCACCUUGCUAGGCUGAUCUGGCCACCCAUCCGAGAACCUGCUGCCAUUUCAUUCUGGCCUGCCUUGGCGUGGUGAUAAGCGGCCUUUGUUCCUGCUGUUGGCAUGGCCACAGGGCCAAAGUUAGCAGUGAAGCCUAAUUUACAGGCAGCUCAGAAUGCAAUUGGGGCAGAACAAAACAUGUUGGCACAGAUGGGGCAAUGUUCAGAGAGCUGCUUUCACACGGCUUAUCUAGUGAUGCCUGGAAGCUGCAGCAACUUGCUGGCUUAAUAACAUCAGCAUGGGACGAAGCUGCCUUUAAGGUAGGGAUACACAUUUGUGGGCAGGGAGCUUUUCUAUUAAUUUUGUAGCAAACCAAGCAAAUCACGGAGCUGGGCACCUGUGUUCAGAAAUGAGGAGGGGCAUGGAUGAGGCAGUGCUUGGGUUCCUGUGCCAGGGCACCUGAGAGAGAGACAAGGGUGGGAUGUUACUCCUCCAGGAAUGCCAGCGGAGAAUGUGACACAUAAGGCACACCCCAGGGAAUCUCCACUGUGAUGAAGGUGCAGGACAGCCUGAGAUUGAUUCCGCAGCUACUUCCAGGCACCACAAAAACCCAGUUCUGACUAAUGUCCAGUGUAUUCCUAGACCUAUUGCAUGGCAAUCUUCAGGCACGACGGAAACAAUGCGGAGCUGAUUGUACCAACUGCAAAACUCCAUGCACAAGGCAAGCUCAGCAUGCCGGCCUGUACUGAUCACACCAUCAAGUGCAGACACAGCGCAGGCUCAGCUCUGCUGAACAUGGGGAGCAUCCUGAAAAGCAAUGGCACUCGCCGACUCUAGCUACCAAGGGAGCUCAGCUCUGGCUAAUGUGCCAAGUGCCCCUCUGCUGAUUGCAUAACCUCUCUGGUGUGAGCAAAGCAGGAACAGCGAUGGCCUCUCAAGGGAAAGUCCUUUCUGUCCCCUGUACUCAGCGGGAAGAGAUCAGGGAGGGGAUUGCCUCCUGCUGUCCUAGGGGGAGACUGAGUGGGCCAGGUCUGUGUUGAGACCCCAAGAAGUUGCUUGCAUUUUCUAUGCAAUGGAGGCUGGAUGGCACCCCAGACGGCUGUUCCAGGACAGUGGUUGCAGAUGGUCAGACUCUUCUGAAUGCAGGGGAGGGUUGUUAGGAGCCUAGGGUACUUUGGACCAGCAGGAGUGGCCCAUGCUGGAGCCUCCACCUGUCAAGCCAUAUCCCACCAUGUGAGCUGCUCAGGGACCAGGGGGGUUGGUUAUCUUAGCUGCCAUGCUGGUGGCUAGCCAUGGGAGCCCUUCAGAAGGGUCAGACAGUGGGGUACGUUCCCUUUAGCCAGAGCUUCUGUGGCCUUGAAAUCUCACCUGUUACUUCCCAGUGUUCAGAAAAUAGCCCAGUAACAUGGCUUUGGCCACCUUUAAGUAUACCCCCUGCCUCUCAUGAAGUGUUAUGUAGGGCAAGCCAGUGCUCUAUUCCACA